rnacentral:rRNA from 1 species
AGAGUUUGAUCCUGGCUCAGGAUGAACGCUGGCGGCGUGCCUAACACAUGCAAGUCGAACGGAUUGGCGCCUAGCGGAAACUUGCUGGAGGCGGCGAUCAUGAGAAAUCAUGAAAGCUGCUGACGGUCAGUGGAAGCUAUUAGCCGGUCAGUGGCGGACGGGUGCGUAACACGUGGGUGACCUGCCUCGAAGUGGGGGAUAACUAUUCGAAAGGAUAGCUAAUACCGCAUGUGGUUCAGCAUUCGUUUGUUGAACUAAAGGAGCAAUCCGCUUUGAGAGGGGCCCGCGGCCCAUCAGCUAGUUGGUAGGGUAAUGGCCUACCAAGGCGAUGACGGGUAGCUGGUCUGAGAGGACGAUCAGCCACACUGGCACUGAGACACGGCCCAUACACCUACGGGUGGCUGCAGUCGAGAAUCUUCCACAAUGGGCGAAAGCCUGAUGGAGCGACGCCGCGUGCGGGAAGAAAAUCUUCGGAUUGUAAACCGCUUUUCUGGGGGAUGAAGUUAUUGACAGUACCUCAGGAAUAAGAAGGGGCUAAUCACGUGCCAGCAGCAGCGGUAAUACGUGACCUUCUAACGUUAUCCGGAUUCACUGGGCGUAAAGAGCCUUAAGGCGGCUUGGAAAGUCCUUGGUAAAAUCUUGGAGCUUAACUUCAAGUGUGUCAGGGAUACUUCCUUGCUCGAGGGCGCUAGAGGUAAGCGGAACGUACAGUGUAGGGGUGAAAUCCGUUGAUAUCGUACGGAACACCAAAAGCGAAGGCAGCUUACUGGGGCGGCCCUGACGCUGAUUGGCGAAAGCGUGGGGAGCAAAAAGGAUUAGAUACCCUGGUAGUCC